rnacentral:lncRNA from 1 species
AAACACUAUUUUAUAAAAUUUUACGAACGAAUUUCCAAUGUAACUUUAUGGCUCUUGAUGUUAUUGGAAAUAAAUCCGAAAAAUCGAACACAGUUCGGCAGUUUCAGAGACGAUUCUUCGCAUCUCUUAUCGGAAAAGUGAAGAAAAUGAAAGGCGAUGUUCCUAAAAACAUAGAGCGCUGGAUUCUUUCUCUCAGGAAAGCUGUCGUGUUUAGAGUAGGUUUUUCUUCCCAAGUUGCAUCUCACUCAAUAAUGCCAGACAGCAAGAUUGCAUCUGGGAAGUUAUAUAACCAAUCUCUUUACAUUGAUAGAGUACUGUGCAGGUAGAA